AGCUCACUGGUCAAGUGAUUCCGCGCCGACAAUGUAGCGGGGCUCAAGUCAUCCGCCGAAGCUAUGGCAUUCAGACAAUAGUCAAGCCUUCGUGGUUCAGACGUCUGGAUGGGUAGGGGAGCGUCGUGUCGCGAGUGAAGCCUCGGAGUGAUCCAGGGGUGGACGCGACACGAGUGAGAAUGCAGGCAUGAGUAGCGAAUGAGGAGUGAGAAACUCCUCCGCCGAAUGAUCAAGGGUUCCAGGGUCAAGCUAAUCUGCCCUGGGUAAGUCGGGACCUAAGGCGAGGCCGACAGGCGUAGUCGAUGGACAACGGGUUGAUAUUCCCGUACCGGCAAAGUAGCGCCCAUGACGAACCUGGUGAUGCUAACUGCCCGAAUUCGCAGUUACCGAACCCUUCGGGGGGAGGAGCUGCGAGCUAGCGCGGGACCCGAACCAGUAGUAGUCAAGCGAUGGGGUGACGCAGGAAGGUAGCCCAACCGUGGCGAUGGUUGUCCACGGGCAAGAGUGUAGGGAGCCACCUAGGCAAAUCCGGGUGGCAUGUUCCUGAGACUUGACGCGGAGUCCGUAUGGACGAAGUGGGUAAUCCUAUGCUGUCGAGAAAAACCUCUAGCGAGCUAUGCGCCGCCCGUACCCCAAACCGACUCAGGUGAUCAGGUAGAGAAUACCAAGGCGAUCGAGUGAACCAUGGUUAAGGAACUCGGCAAAAUGCCCCCGUAACUUCGGGAGAAGGGGGGCCGGAUCCGUCAAUGCCCUAGCGGCAGGCAGCGGUGAUGGCCGCAGAGACCAGGCCCAAGCGACUGUUUACUAAAAACACAGGUCCGUGCGAAGUUGUAAGACGAUGUAUACGGACUGACUCCUGCCCGGUGCUGGAAGGUUAAGGGGACGGGUCAGCCUUUAGGCGAAGCCCAGAACUUAAGCCCCAGUAAACGGCGGUGGUAACUAUAACCAUCCUAAGGUAGCGAAAUUCCUUGUCGGGUAAGUUCCGACCUGCACGAAUGGAGUAACGACUUGGGCGCUGUCUCAACCGUGGACUCGGCGAAAUUGCACUACGAGUAAAGAUGCUCGUUACGCGCGGCAGGACGGAAAGACCCCGGGACCUUUACUAUAGUUUGGUAUUGGUGUUUGGUUCGGCUUGUGUAGGAUAGGUGGGAGACUUUGAAGCACGGACGCCAGUUCGUGUGGAGUCAACGUUGAAAUACCACUCUGGUCGUACUAGAUGUCUAACCUAGGUCCGUAAUCCGGAUCAGGGACAGUGCCUGAUGGGUAGUUUAACUGGGGCGGUUGCCUCCUAAAAUGUAACGGAGGCGCUCAAAGGUUCCCUCAGCCUGGUUGGCAAUCAGGUGGCGAGUGUAAGUGCACAAGGGAGCUUGACUGUGAGACAGACAUGUCGAGCAGGGACGAAAGUCGGAACUAGUGAUCCGGCCACGGCAUGUGGAAGCGUGGUCGCUCAACGGAUAAAAGGUACCCCGGGGAUAACAGGCUGAUCUUCCCCAAGAGUCCAUAUCGACGGGAUGGUUUGGCACCUCGAUGUCGGCUCGUCGCAUCCUGGGGCUGGAGUAGGUCCCAAGGGUUGGGCUGUUCGCCCAUUAAAGCGGCACGCGAGCUGGGUUUAGAACGUCGUGAGACAGUUCGGUCCCUAUCCGCCGCGCGCGCAGGAAACUUGAGAAAGGCUGUCCCUAGUACGAGAGGACCGGGAUGGACGAACCUCUGGUGUGCCAGUUGUUCUGCCAAGAGCACGGCUGGUUGGCUACGUUCGGAAGUGAUAACCGCUGAAUGCAUCUAAGCGGGAAGCACGUUUCAAGAUGAGGUUUCCCACUACAUAAGUAGGUAAGGUCCCCAGCAGAACACUGGGUUGA
rnacentral:rRNA from 1 species